CAAGAUUUAGGGCAAGAAAAACAAUGUUCUUAAUAGUGACUGAUGUUGCAGCUAGGGGCAUUGACAUCCCAUUGCUUGAUAAUGUUAUCAACUGGGACUUCCCUCCAAAACCUAAAAUCUUUGUACACCGAGUUGGUCGAGCUGCAAGGGCUGGUCGAACUGGUACAGCAUUUUCAUUUGUGACUUCUGAAGAUCUCCCUAACCUUUUAGAUCUUCAUCUUUUUCUCUCAAAACCUAUAAG
rnacentral:misc_RNA from 1 species